CUAACUAGUCAGUUCCGUGUUCUUCACACCUGAACUUAAUCAUAGGAUUAAAAGAACAGGCAUAGAAUAGACUAGAAAACGUACAUUUUUCUGUGUCGUACCCUCUGUCAGCCAGCUAUUGUAUUCUCAUCUAAUGAUAGGGUGUUUU
ensembl:ncRNA F58H1.13 ncRNA